GUGACUGCGUACCUUUUGUAUAAUGGGUCAGCGACUUAUAUUCUGUAGCAAGGUUAACCGAAUAGGGGAGCCGGAGGGAAACCGAGUCUUAAUUGGGCGUUAAGUUGCAGGGUAUAGACCCGAAACCCGGUGAUCUAGCCAUGGGCAGGUUGAAGGUUGGGUAACACUAACUGGAGGACCGAACCGACUAAUGUUGAAAAAUUAGCGGAUGACCUGUGGCUGGGGGUGAAAGGCCAAUCAAACCGGGAGAUAGCUGGUUCUCCCCGAAAGCUAUUUAGGUAGCGCCUCGUGAAUUCAUCUCCGGGGGUAGAGCACUGUUUCGGCUAGGGGGCCAUCCCGGCUUACCAACCCGAUGCAAACUGCGAAUACCGGAGAAUGUUAUCACGGGAGACACACGGCGGGUGCUAACGUCCGUCGUGAAGAGGGAAACAACCCAGACCGCCAGCUAAGGUCCCAAAGUCAUGGUUAAGUGGGAAACGAUGUGGGAAGGCCCAGACAGCCAGGAUGUUGGCUUAGAAGCAGCCAUCAUUUAAAGAAAGCGUAAUAGCUCACUGGUCGAGUCGGCCUGCGCGGAAGAUGUAACGGGGCUAAACCAUGCACCGAAGCUGCGGCAGCGACGCUAUGUGUUGUUGGGUAGGGGAGCGUUCUGUAAGCCUGUGAAGGUGGCCUGUGAGGGUUGCUGGAGGUAUCAGAAGUGCGAAUGCUGACAUAAGUAACGAUAAAGCGGGUGAAAAGCCCGCUCGCCGGAAGACCAAGGGUUCCUGUCCAACGUUAAUCGGGGCAGGGUGAGUCGACCCCUAAGGCGAGGCCGAAAGGCGUAGUCGAUGGGAAACGGGUUAAUAUUCCCGUACUUGGUGUUACUGCGAAGGGGGGACGGAGAAGGCUAUGUUGGCCGGGCGACGGUUGUCCCGGUUUAAGCGUGUAGGUGUGUGUUCCAGGUAAAUCCGGUUCACUUUAACACUGAGGCGUGAUGACGAGGCACUACGGUGCUGAAGCAACAAAUGCCCUGCUUCCAGGAAAAGCCUCUAAGCAUCAGGUAACAUCAAAUCGUACCCCAAACCGACACAGGUGGUCAGGUAGAGAAUACCAAGGCGCUUGAGAGAACUCGGGUGAAGGAACUAGGCAAAAUGGUGCCGUAACUUCGGGAGAAGGCACGCUGACACGUAGGUGAAGUGAUUUACUCAUGGAGCUGAAGUCAGUCGAAGAUACCAGCUGGCUGCAACUGUUUAUUAAAAACACAGCACUGUGCAAACACGAAAGUGGACGUAUACGGUGUGACGCCUGCCCGGUGCCGGAAGGUUAAUUGAUGGGGUCAGCGCAAGCGAAGCUCCUGAUCGAAGCCCCGGUAAACGGCGGCCGUAACUAUAACGGUCCUAAGGUAGCGAAAUUCCUUGUCGGGUAAGUUCCGACCUGCACGAAUGGCGUAAUGAUGGCCAGGCUGUCUCCACCCGAGACUCAGUGAAAUUGAACUCGCUGUGAAGAUGCAGUGUACCCGCGGCAAGACGGAAAGACCCCGUGAACCUUUACUAUAGCUUGACACUGAACAUUGAGCCUUGAUGUGUAGGAUAGGUGGGAGGCUUUGAAGUGUGGACGCCAGUCUGCAUGGAGCCGACCUUGAAAUACCACCCUUUAAUGUUUGAUGUUCUAACGUGGACCCGUGAUCCGGGUUGCGGACAGUGUCUGGUGGGUAGUUUGACUGGGGCGGUCUCCUCCUAAAGAGUAACGGAGGAGCACGAAGGUUGGCUAAUCCUGGUCGGACAUCAGGAGGUUAGUGCAAUGGCAUAAGCCAGCUUGACUGCGAGCGUGACGGCGCGAGCAGGUGCGAAAGCAGGUCAUAGUGAUCCGGUGGUUCUGAAUGGAAGGGCCAUCGCUCAACGGAUAAAAGGUACUCCGGGGAUAACAGGCUGAUACCGCCCAAGAGUUCAUAUCGACGGCGGUGUUUGGCACCUCGAUGUCGGCUCAUCACAUCCUGGGGCUGAAGUAGGUCCCAAGGGUAUGGCUGUUCGCCAUUUAAAGUGGUACGCGAGCUGGGUUUAGAACGUCGUGAGACAGUUCGGUCCCUAUCUGCCGUGGGCGCUGGAGAACUGAGGGGGGCUGCUCCUAGUACGAGAGGACCGGAGUGGACGCAUCACUGGUGUUCGGGUUGUCAUGCCAAUGGCACUGCCCGGUAGCUAAAUGCGGAAGAGAUAAGUGCUGAAAGCAUCUAAGCACGAAACUUGCCCCGAGAUGAGUUCUCCCUGAGACUUAGAGUCUCCUGAAGGAACGUUGAAGACGACGACGUUGAUAGGCCGGGUGUGUAAGCGCAGCGAUGCGUUGAGCUAACCGGUACUAAUGAACCGUGAGGCUUAACCUU
rnacentral:rRNA from 1 species